rnacentral:rRNA from 1 species
AACGUAGGACGCAAGCGUUAUCCGGAAUUACUGGGCGUAAAGCGCGUGUAGGUGGUUGCAUAAGUCACUGUUGAAAGCUCCCGGCUAAACUGGGAGAGGCGCGGUGAGACUGUGCGACUGGAGUUUGGGAGAGGGGUGCGGAAUUCCGGGUGUAGUGGUGAAAUGCGUAGAGAUCCGGAGGAACACCAGAGGCGAAGGCGGCACCCUGGCCUAAUACUGACACUGAGACGCGAAAGCAUGGGGAGCGAACGGG